UCGUACAACAGAGAUGCCCCAGGGCUGUUGCUGACCUCAAUGGCUCGUGCACGCCCAAAGGUGCUCUCUCAUGUCCAUCUCACCCCUUUGUGCAUCACCGCGUGGGCCCCCCUAUCGGUAUCGUUCCGAGGGGGCGUUCACGUUUUUAAACAGACACCAUUUUUUAAAUGCAUGUGUAGAAUGUGUUACUAUUUGCGAUCACACGCAAUCAAUA
rnacentral:misc_RNA from 1 species